rnacentral:rRNA from 1 species
UACAGAGGUCUCAAGCGUUGUUCGGAUUCAUUGGGCGUAAAGGGUGCGUAGGUGGCGCGGUAAGUCGGGUGUGAAAUCUCGGAGCUUAACUCCGAAAUUGCAUUCGAUACUGCCGUGCUUGAGAACUGGAGAGGAGUCUAGAAUUUUCGGUGUAGCAGUGAAAUGCGUAGAUAUCGAAAGGAAUACCAAAGGCGAAGGCCGGACUCUGGACAGUUUCUGACGCUGAGGCACGAAGGCCAGGGUAGCGAACGGG